CGGGUGAGUAACGCGUGGAUAACCUGCCUCACACUGGGGGAUAACAGUUAGAAAUGACUGCUAAUACCGCAUAAGCGCACAGUACCGCAUGGUACAGUGUGAAAAACUCCGGUGGUGUGAGAUGGAUCCGCGUCUGAUUAGCCAGUUGGCGGGGUAACGGCCCACCAAAGCGACGAUCAGUAGCCGACCUGAGAGGGUGACCGGCCACAUCGGGACUGAGACACGGCCCAA
rnacentral:rRNA from 1 species